UACUCAACAUGUCAGAUGUGAAUCUCCAAUUUUAUGUGUGUUUUCAUAUGUUUCAUGUUCUAAAUAUAAAAAUUCAUAUUGUAAACUAGGGAAAAGGAAUGUGAGGACUGUUCAUGGUUAUAUAGAAGCAGCAAAGCAUUUCUGAAAGAGGCCUGACACCCAAAGAUCAACUAUAGCUACUCAUGAACAAAGAUCAACUACAACUACAAGGAACAAAGAUCAACUACAGCUAGUCAUGAAUAAAGUGUGAAAGUUUGUAGCCAGACUUCAACAGCUACAAAGGCAAAAGAGAAUGUGACUGUGUUUGAAAGGUUGUCUCAAAAACGUGCAGCAACUAAUAUAUCAGUUAGUUCGAAAGGUAAAGAGAAGGUAGUAGCUACAAAGACAAAGACUAGUAAGAAUGAAAAUUUGGUGAUUCAAGAAGGGCAACAUGUUUUACCAAAGCCAAUGGAGAAGUUUAAGAAGUUGCCUUAGAGAAGUUGCAUUACUGUAUUUUUGUAAUUUUGGAGUUGCAUGGAACUAAACUGUCAUGUUGAAUUUAUCAAUUAGUUUACCUUAAUAUUAG
rnacentral:lncRNA from 1 species